GAUGAACGCUGGCGGCGUGCCUAAUACAUGCAAGUCGAGCGAACAGACGAGGAGCUUGCUCCUCUGACGUUAGCGGCGGACGGGUGAGUAACACGUGGAUAACCUACCUAUAAGACUGGGAUAACUUCGGGAAACCGUAGCUAAUACCGGAUAAUAUAUUGAACCGCACGGUUCAAUAGUGAAAGACGGUUUUGCUGUCACUUAUAGAUGGAUCCGCGCCGCAUUAGCUAGUUGGUAAGGUAACGGCUUACCAAGGCAACGAUGCGUAGCCGACCUGAGAGGGUGAUCGGCCACACUGGAACUGAGACACGGUCCAGACUCCUACGGGAGGCAGCAGUAGGGAAUCUUCCGCAAUGGGCGAAAGCUUGACGGAGCAACGCCGCGUGAGUGAUGAAGGUCUUCGGAUCGUAAAACUCUGUUAUUAGGGAAGAACAAAUGUGUAAGUAACUAUGCACAUCUUGACGGUACCUAAUCAGAAAGCCACGGCUAACUACGUG
rnacentral:rRNA from 1 species